rnacentral:rRNA from 1 species
UACGGAGGGUGCAAGCGUUUUUCGGAAUUACUGGGCGUAAAGCGCGUGUAGGCGGCCUCUUAAGUCAAAGGUGAAAGCUCUCGGCUUAACCGAGAAAUUGCCUUUGAUACUGAGAGUCUUGAGUACGGGAGAGGGAGAUGGAAUUCCAGGUGUAGCGGUGAAAUGCGUAGAUAUCUGGAGGAACACCAGAGGCGAAGGCGGUCUCCUGGCCCGUUACUGACGCUCAGGCACGAAAGCGUGGGGAGCAAACAGG